GCCCGGGACAGCGUCCAGGCCGGGCCAGGGUCCCCAUCCCGCUAGCGAGCCGCGUUCUUACCCUUCCGGGCCCCGCUGCCCCGGCAGCAGACACAGGAGCCUGCGGGCGUGUUGCGGGCGCGCGGGAGGACCUGCGUGAGUCGGGGCACGGGGAGGCGCCGGACUGACGUGUGCACCGUGUGUGCGUGCGCAGGGACACGCGGGUUCUUGCUGGAAACCUCGGCCCCAGUGGCAGCGCUCGGGAAGGGGGAGGAGGCCUUCCGAUUCUCUGAGCUGUGGCCCGGAGGUCCCUGCGCUAAUGGAAGACGCGCGGGGCUCCUGGGCCUCCUGCUUGGCCUCCGCGCUGCUAGAUCCCCCGGGAGUUGAUGUGGCCGGCGCUGGACCCAAGCCUCGCCUGGGUGGACAAAGUGGCCCCCGGCCCCCCAUCAAAGCCCGCGUGGGCCCCAUCCCCCGAGGGCAGUCCCAGGCCCAGCGCGGACACUGGGCGCCUGGGGCGGCGCAGAUACAGAGUAGAGGCGGCGACUGUUGCUCCCGAGCUCCGCGCUCCGGAUACAAUGUGUCUGGCGCCUCCGACCCGCCCGCGCGGCGUCUAGACAAUCUCAGAGAAAACCCCUGUGCGCCGAUUUUGCACUACAGAUUAGCGAUUUUCUCCUGUAGCAAAGCUACUAGCAGCCAAUUUCCAUGCAUUUGAGAGGCAAAAAGACAAAAUAAAACAAAACGUGGAUUGGGU
ensembl:lncRNA novel transcript